CGCUCAACGAAUGGGCUAACGCAGUUUAGUCUAGGCUAGACUUUACGAAAUGUCUUUGCCACCCUUAGACAACUAGCGCCACCGAAACAUGAUCGAUAACGGCAACUCUUGAUUUCAGUAGCCUAGGCUAUUAUUACUCUACUGUGUUGUGUACACACAGUGCUAGAAAAAUUGUGUUCGACUGCUAGCUUCAGACUUCAGCGAAGUCCAAGGAUUUGGAAGGAUACCAAUUCACGGACGAUUUCUCUUCUGGGUUUUUUUCCAGUCUUGUAAAUACUGUGUGUGUUUUCGGGAAAAGGGGGAAAAAUCAAGAUCUAGAAUAUCCUGAUUUUCCCGGAAAGUCUGUCAUCGAACUCAACACAGUGGUUUGACAUAGAGGCAGAGGCCUACUCGAGUCAAUUUGAUAAUUAUUCUGGACUGGAGUUUGGAGCUGAUUUAGUUCAGUUCAGCAAUCACCGAGCUGCAAUGCAAUGAAUCUGGAUUUGAAGAGAAUUUUCAAUUCUCUCUUGCGAGUCCAUGACAUGAACACCAUCUGACCAGGAUUAUUGAAAAACCUGACCUCAAGUUGAAAUGGCUACAUCUGGUGCCGAGGGGGCUCCUAUGGAAGGGGAAAAUGCACGGGCUUCUGAUACAGAUAUUAAUAUAGAACUUGAUGCUGCGGAUGCUGCGAAGAAAGCCAGCCGCCCAUCUGUCAACGGUAAGAUAGGUUCCACAUCUUUGUGUAGUUUGUAUUUUGUACCCUUCAGUUUUUGACAAAGUAAUGUUGUUUGCAAUGGGAUGGAGGGAAGAGGGGAUUCUCCUCAAAGUUUCUUUUAAGUGUAUGAUUUUUCGUUCUGUCUCAGAAAAAAAUUUAUGGUUUGUCCGCUGUGACUGCAUAAAUUGUCAUUCUCCUUCGUGCUGUUCUAAUGGAACUUUUGAAAUAUAUGUCUAUCUCUCCAAAGUGGUACUUGUCAAUUUUGUCUCUGAAGAUUGGCACUUGUCAGUAUUAUCUCUAAAGAUUGGCACUUGUCAAUUUUACCUGAAGAUAAACCUUCUGUAUGCUAAUGGACCUGGUAGAGUUUACUUCCUAAUUGUACCUUUCAGGAAAUAAUGACCUUGUAGGCCUACUUGUUCUUUCAUUUUCUAGGGGGAAAAAGCUAAAGAUAAUUACAUAUCAGGAGUUCGUUCUUUUCUGCUUUGUUAAAAUGUGCUUUCUUCAGGGAGGGGGUUAGAUAGUUUUACUUCGUAUGCCGUUUUACAGGUCUACAUUUAUAUGAGUUUUUAAAAUUUUAAUUUUUGUAUUAUCAAAUAGCAAAAAA